CCGGUAGUCCUGGCCGUAAACGAUGGGUACUAGGUGUAGGAGGUAUCGACCCCUUCUGUGCCGGAGUUAACGCAAUAAGUACCCCGCCUGGGGAGUACGACCGCAAGGUUGAAACUCAAAGGAAUUGACGGGGGCCCGCACAAGCGGUGGAGUAUGUGGUUUAAUUCGACGCAACGCGAAGAACCUUACCAGGUCUUGACAUUGAUGGACAGAACUAGAGAUAGUUCCUCUUCUUCGGAAGCCAGAAAACAGGUGGUGCACGGUUGUCGUCAGCUCGUGUCGUGAGAUGUUGGGUUAAGUCCCGCAACGAGCGCAACCCCUAUCUUAUGUUGCCAGCACUUCGGGUGGGAACUCAUGAGAGACUGCCGCAGACAAUGCGGAGGAAGGCGGGGAUGACGUCAAAUCAUCAUGCCCCUUAUGACCUGGGCUACACACGUACUACAAUGGGAGUUAAUAGACGGAAGCGAAACCGCGAGGUGGAGCAAACCCGAGAAACACUCUCUCAGUUCGGAUCGUAGGCUGCAACUCGCCUACGUGAAGUCGGAAUCGCUAGUAAUCGCAGGUCAGCAUACUGCGGUGAAUACGUUCCCGGGCCUUGUACACACCGCCCGUCACACCACGAAAGUCGGAAGUGCCCAAAGCCGGUGGGGUAACCUUCGGGAGCCAGCCGUCUAAGGUAAAGUCGAUGAUUGGGGUGAAGUCGUAACAAGGUAGCCGUAUCGGAAGGUGCGGCUG
rnacentral:rRNA from 1 species